rnacentral:RNase_P_RNA from 2 species
CCAGCUCGAAGGCCACGAUGCCCACCAUGCACAGGAUGCCCCCCAUCCAAUCUCGUGAGCGGGCUAAGGUCUGAGUAUUCGAAUCCCCCUCGAUAGGCUCUAGCAGGGCCCUGUCGUAAUCGACAGAGCGGCAUACCAGAAAAGCAGCCUUUUUCUCGCUCGCCCAAGAUCCUGUUCUGCAGGGGAGGCUUUGGGAAUUUUGGCUUUGAAAGGUGCCGCGGGGAUUAGGCAAGGUAUUUCUCCCACUGGGAAUCCUACGAUUUUGCCUUUAUCUCGCUAAGUGUCCCUCGUAUGGGACGCCUUGAACGCGGGCAGGCUUGUAACCGGGAAUUCACCAUGUUGUUGGUGUUGCUCCGAUAAUCUGGACCGGGAUGACUACGUGUGGCGCUCAGAGACAGUAUUGGUCUGCAGACGUCACCUGCGGAAGAGAUGUGCUAUUGUCUGGGCGUCAACAAGUCACAAUGCUCCAGUGGGGCUACAUCUGCAACAAUAUACGCGGUGUCCUAGGUGCAGAGUCAUUGUCUUCGCGCGGAAAGACGGCCUUUUGGCUGGAGAUGCUGUUUAGUGUGACGGACGAGAGCAGCUCCUUGCGAACGAGAAGGCAAAUCCGUGAGUUCUUUUGGGAGCCCAUGUCCUUCAGUGCACUUCGUGGCUCGCGGUUCCUUGUGAGCCGUGAAACUCGAUUCAGACUAUUCUCGGACUGG